AAUUCCGUCGGAAUCUGGGAGGACCAUCUCCUAAGGCUAAAUACUCUCUAGUGACCGAUAGUGAACCAGUACCGUGAGGGAAAGGUGAAAAGCACCCCGGAAGGGGAGUGAAAUAGAACCUGAAACCGUGUGCUUACAAGUAGUCAGAGCCCGUUAAUGGGUGAUGGCGUGCCUUUUGUAGAAUGAACCGGCGAGUUACGAUUUGAUGCAAGGUUAAGCAGUAAAUGUGGAGCCGUAGCGAAAGCGAGUCUGAAUAGGGCGUUUAGUAUUUGGUCGUAGACCCGAAACCAGGUGAUCUACCCUUGGUCAGGUUGAAGUUCAGGUAACACUGAAUGGAGGACCGAACCGACUUACGUUGAAAAGUGAGCGGAUGAACUGAGGGUAGCGGAGAAAUUCCAAUCGAACCUGGAGAUAGCUGGUUCUCUCCGAAAUAGCUUUAGGGCUAGCCUCAAGUGAUGAUUAUUGGAGGUAGAGCACUGUUUGGACGAGGGGCCCCUCUCGGGUUACCGAAUUCAGACAAACUCCGAAUGCCAAUUAAUUUAACUUGGGAGUCAGAACAUGGGUGAUAAGG
rnacentral:rRNA from 1 species